GCCUCAAUGGUUUAGCGGUUAGAACGCUGCUCCCCUAGAAAGAGCAGAGCCCUCGGUUCAACUCCGAGUUGGGGCG